GGCUCUGUGGCGCAAUGGAUAGCGCGUUGGACUUCUGAUUCAAAGGUUGUGGGUUCGAGUCCCACCAGAGUCGA
rnacentral:tRNA from 1 species